rnacentral:tRNA from 1 species
GCACUCGUGGCGAAAUGGCAGACGCGCUAGCUUGAGGUGCUAGUGGGGCAACCCAUGGGAGUUCGAGUCUCCCCGAGUGCA